rnacentral:rRNA from 1 species
CAGUAGCCGCGGGAAUACGAAGGGUGCAAGCGUUAAUCGGAAUUACUGGGCGUAAAGCGUGCGUAGGCGGUGAGUUAAGUCUGCUGUGAAAUCCCCGGGCUCAACCUGGGAAUGGCAGUGGAUACUGGCUCGCUAGAGUGUGUCAGAGGAUAGUGGAAUUUCCGGUGUAGCAGUGAAAUGCGUAGAGAUCGGAAGGAACAUCUGUGGCGAAGGCGACUAUCUGGGCCAACACUGACACUGAGGCACGAAAGCGUGGGGAGCAAACAGGAUUAGAUACCCCAGUAGUCCCUGUCUCUUAUCA